rnacentral:rRNA from 1 species
UGGGGAAUAUUGGACAAUGGGCGGAAGCCUGAUCCAGCAACGCCGCGUGAGGGAUGACGGCCUUCGGGUUGUAAACCUCUUUCAGUACCGACGAAGCGAAAGUGACGGUAGGUACAGAAAGAAGGACCGGCCAACUACGUGCCAGCAGCCGCGGUAAUACGUAGGGUCCGAGCGUUGUCCGGAAUUAUUGGGCGUAAAGGGCUCGUAGGCGGUUUGUCGCGUCGGGAGUGAAAACAGCGGGCUUAACUCGUUGCUUGCUUUCGAUACGGGCAGACUAGAGGUAUGCAGGGGGAGAAUGGAAUUCCUGGUGUAGCGGUGAAAUGCGCAGAUAUCAGGAGGAACACCGGUGGCGAAGGCGGUUCUCUGGGCAUUACCUGACGCUGAGGAGCGAAAGUGUGGGGAGCGAACAGGAUUAGAUACCCUGGUAGUCCACACCGUAAAACGUUGGGCGCUAGGUGUGGGGUCCUUUCCACGGAUUCCGUGCCGUAGCUAACGCAUUAAGCGCCCCGCCUGGGGGAGUACGGCCGCAAGGCUAAAACUC